rnacentral:rRNA from 1 species
CCUACGGGUGGCAGCAGUGGGGAAUAUUGGACAAUGGGCGAAAGCCUGAUCCAGCCAUGCCGCGUGUGUGAAGAAGGCCUUCGGGUUGUAAGCACUUUCAGUGGGGAAGAAAGCCUUGGGGCUAAUACCCUCGAGGAAGGACAUCACCCACAGAAGAAGCACCGGCUAACUCCGUGCCAGCAGCCGCGGUAAUACGGAGGGUGCGAGCGUUAAUCGGAAUUACUGGGCGUAAAGCGCGCGUAGGCGGUCUGAUAAGCCGGUUGUGAAAGCCCCGGGCUCAACCUGGGAACGGCAUCCGGAACUGUCAGGCUAGAGUGCAGGAGAGGAAGGUAGAAUUCCCGGUGUAGCGGUGAAAUGCGUAGAGAUCGGGAGGAAUACCAGUGGCGAAGGCGGCCUUCUGGACUGACACUGACGCUGAGGUGCGAAAGCGUGGGUAGCAAACAGGAUUAGAUACCCUGGUAGUC